AUUGAACGCUGGCGGCAGGCCUAACACAUGCAAGUCGAGCGGCAGCGGGAAAGUAGCUUGCUACUUUUGCCGGCGAGCGGCGGACGGGUGAGUAAUGCCUGGGGAUCUGCCCAGUCGAGGGGGAUAACUACUGGAAACGGUAGCUAAUACCGCAUACGCCCUACGGGGGAAAGCAGGGGACCUUCGGGCCUUGCGCGAUUGGAUGAACCCAGGUGGGAUUAGCUAGUUGGUGAGGUAAUGGCUCACCAAGGCGACGAUCCCUAGCUGGUCUGAGAGCAUGAUCAGCCACACUGGAACGGAGACACGGUCCAGACUCCUACGGGAGGCAGCAGUGGGGAAUAUUGCACAAUGGGGGAAACCCUGAUGCAGCCAUGCCGCGUGUGUGAAGAAGGCCUUCGGGUUGUAAAGCACUUUCAGCGAGGAGGAAAGGUUGGUAGCUAAUAACUGCCAGCUGUGACGUUACUCGCAGAAGAAGCACCGGCUAACUCCGUGCCAGCAGCCGCAGUAA
rnacentral:rRNA from 1 species